CAACUACUGUCCCUUGUGUGUGUUUCCUGAUCUUUAUUUUAGCUUUGACUGUUCUGCAUAGAGUUCGCAAACAGAGAACAGGGAAUCAUUCUCCCUCUGCAGCAAUGGAGCGAGAAGAAGAUAUUUAUGAAAACUGCCUUGAAACUGAUGUUCGUCAACUACGUGGCUACAAUCAUCCUCACUACAAACACAGGACUCACUGAUAUUAAAAUACGGUGGGAACAUUUAAAAGGGAAGGGAGUCAGCCACCUGAGUGAAACUGUAACAACAAUAUUUUAUGGAACACAAAUGAAUUGUAAAACCUAUUUUUUUUCACAUUUGUCAAAGUUACUUUCCACUCUGAAUACUUACUUCAGUUAUUUUGUAUUUUAUUAUAUAAAAUGUUUUACCAGUUUUCGCGAUAAAGGUUCUGUAUGUGAAGGUGGCAGCAGCACAAGCUGAACACAUGACACCUUGUUAGGUGUUUUUUGGUUGCCUAGCUACACAUCUCCACCUAUUCCCAAGUGAACUCAUAAUGCUUUGUUUAGACUGCACAACAUUAGCCAACUUCAAUAAAUCCGGUUUAGGACAAAAUAAAGUUUGGAGAUCAAACAUAAUCUCCUGGGAUUUGUUCUGAUGAAAGACCUUGUUGGGUGAGACUGUCACCAGUCAUCCAUGCAGUCUGAAACGACUUCAAGAUUACUGAUAACAUGGCAAUAAAUUGUGUAGUGUUCACACUACAGUGGUCUGAGGACAUUUAAAGUUGUGUAGUGUGAAUAAAACAUUAGCUACUAAAUGCUUCUUUAUGUUCACCAGCCAGUUGCUAAUGAAUGCUUCUGGAAUAUAGUGCCUAGCAGGAAGUGUACAGUGGGGCUUUUAUGAGUUUUUUUUUGCUGAGAAAAACUGCCUGCUUUGGCUCUAAACAAGCAUCAUUAGACAGGAGUUGCCAGUAAACGAAAAACAACAACAGAAGGUUAAAGGAGGCCAAUAGAAACUGUGUAUCAUUCG